UAGCAACCUAAGCUCUAAAACGGAGACGAGGAGCAAACAGCACCAAGAUAUACAUUUUAAUAUCGUCCCAGCGCUUAUAGCUGAGUUGUGGUGAUGCUGGACCAAAGGAGGCUGCAGAUGCGUCGUAGAGUUCGUUGAAUACCAAGAGUAGUUUGCCAAAAACGACGAAGGCGCAGUCGUGUUGGGAGGGCUGCAGCUGCUCUGAGAACAGCUGGUAUAAUGAACCUUCCAGGGUUGAGUGACUUCAGGGAAAAGAAGG